rnacentral:tRNA from 1 species
GGGCCCUUAGCUCAGCUGGUUAGAGCAGUCCGCUCAUAACGGAUUGGUCGGGGGUUCAAGUCCCUCAGGGCCUACCA